rnacentral:rRNA from 1 species
GACGAACGCUGGCGGCGUGCUUAACACAUGCAAGUCGAACGGAAAGGCCCUGCUUUUGUGGGGUGCUCGAGUGGCGAACGGGUGAGUAACACGUGAGUAACCUGCCCUUGACUUUGGGAUAACUUCAGGAAACUGGGGCUAAUAUCGGAUAGGAGCUCCUGCUGCAUGGUGGGGGUUGGAAAUUUUCGGCGGUUGGGGAUGGACUCGCGGCUUAUCAGCUUGUUGGUGGGGUAGUGGCUUACCAAGGCUUUGACGGGUAGCCGGCCUGAGAGGGUGACCGGCCACAUUGGGACUGAGAUACGGCCCAGACUCCUACGGGAGGCAGCAGUGGGGAAUAUUGCACAAUGGGCGGAAGCCUGAUGCAGCAACGCCGCGUGCGGGAUGACGGCCUUCGGGUUGUAAACCGCUUUCGCCUGUGACGAAGCGUGAGUGACGGUAAUGGGUAAAGAAGCACCGGCUAACUACGUG